UACGAAGGGGGCUAGCGUUGUUCGGAAUUACUGGGCGUAAAGGGCGCGUAGGCGGUCCGUUGAAUUAGGAGUGAAAGCCCUGGGCUUAACCCGGGAACCGCUCUUAAGACUGGCGGGCUUGAAUCCAUGAGAGGGUGGUGGAAUUCCCAGUGUAGAGGUGAAAUUCGUAGAUAUUGGGAAGAACACCAGUGGCGAAGGCGACCACCUGGCAUGGUAUUGACGCUGAGGCGCGAAAGCGUGGGGAGCAAACAGG
rnacentral:rRNA from 1 species